AGGUUUUGAUUUUCCCUCCAAAACAUCCUCAUGGAAAGUUGGAAUCAUCUUACUCACGCAAAUUCGACCGCCAUAGACGUCAAUUCCUGUAUCUGCGAAGCUUCUCAGAACUUUCCUGUUGACCCGAAACCUUCUUUAUGUACUUUAACGAUUUGAUUGGUGAAAUUGUGGGAAGAUGCAUUGUGCGGAGAAGGUGUUUGAUGAAAUUCCAAAGAGAAAACUCCUAAAGGAAAAGGAGCUUCUUUGGUUGUGACUUCUGGUUGUUGUUUCGCCUCAUCGAUCUCUUUAGCAACAGUUUCUUUCAAAGUCUCUUCGCUCUUUCCUUCCGCAACAGGUGUGUCAGUAUCUUUCUUGAUGUUCUCAUCUUCUGCUGCUAGUUUAGUAACGACAUCUUUGGCUUCACUUACGUUCUCUUGUUCAUCCUUUAAUGGUUCUUCGACUACAUGCUUCUCGUCAGUAAUGGCCUUCUCAAUGACAUCAGCUGGAGAAGGAACGUCUCCUUCAGUCUCCUUUUUGGGUUCUGUGUCUGAGUCUUGGUUUGUGGGUACGACUUUCUCAGGGGACAAUGCAGAACCAGAUUCAGAAGUUUUCUCAUCCUUUGAUGGUUCUUCGACUACAUGCUUCUCUUCAGUAAUGGCCUUCUCAAUGAUAUCAGCAGGAGAAGAAACGUCUUCCUCAGUUUCCUUUUUGGGUUCUGUGUCUAAAUCUUGGUUUGUGGGUACGGCUUUCUCAGGGCACAGAGCAGAACCAGAUUCAGAAGUUGUUUCAUCCUUUGAUGGUUCAUCCACUACAUACUUCUCUUCAGUAAUAGCCUUCUCAAUGACAUCAGCAGGAGCAGCAGCGUCUCCUUCAGUUUCCUCUUUGGGUUUUGUGUCUGAAUCUUGGUUUAUUGGUACAACUUUCUCAGGGGACAAAGCAGCACUUGAUUCAGAAGGUUUUUCCUCAUUUGCUGGUUCAUCCACUACAUGCUUCUCUUCUGUAAUGGCCUUCUCAAUGACGUCAAUAGGAUAAGAAGCGUCUCCUUCAGUCUCCUUUAUGGGGUCAGUGUUUGAUUCUUGGAUUGUCGAUAAAAUUUCCUCAGAGCACAAAGCAGAACCAGAUUCAGAAGUCUUUUCAUCUUUGGAGUUGAUUUCAGAGUCUUUUUCCUCAACAAUUACAUCCUCCAGCUUUCCCUCAAGCUCAACUUUAGCUUGUUCUGUUGCUUCAGCUGUUUCCUCUGCCUUUACUACCUCAACUUCUGUUUCCAAUUCCCUUGCUUUCUCAAGCUGAGUCUCAACCUUUUCAGACGUCUCUGGCUUUGGCUCGACUUCAAGAGCCUCCACAUCUUUGACUUUCUCCUCUGCAAUCUCUGCAGAUACAUCUCUAACGGAUUGAACAUCAACUGAUUCCACCUGUUUGUCUCCAGCUGAUUCAGAGACAUCAACAAUCUUCGUCUCUUCCCUAUCCUUAGUUUCUUCUUCAACAACACUCUCAACGGUUGGCUUCUCUUCUGCUUUCUCCGCAUCUUUAACAGGUUGAACAUCAACUGGUUCCACCUGUUGGACUUCAGCUUCAUCUGUUGAUUCAGAGACAUCAACAAUCUUCGUCUCCUCCUGAUCCUUAUGGUCUUCUAUUAGAACGUUCUCCACGGUUUGCUUCUCUUCUGCUUUUUCGGUAUCAACAGUUUCAACAUUAACUUCUGCAACAGUCUCUUUAACAAGGAUUGGCUCUUUAAGUUCCACUUGUUCAGCUCCCUUCUCACCGUUCUCAUGCUUCACUGUCUCUGUAGAUUCCUCUGCUUUCACAACAGCUCCAACCUCUUCCACCACUGCUGGUGAUUCUUUCUCUGGUUCACCAGCAGGAGUUUGAUCAAUCUCCUCUUCUUUGGUGACCACCGGGUUUGAAUCUGAUGCCGGUUUAUCAUUCACCACAUCUGCAGAAUCCGACGAAAUAAUCUCUUUCUCCAUCAACUUAGCUUCCUCGCUCACCUUAUUCUCCAAUGGCUGCAUCAGUAAAACAAUGGAAGAAUACACAUACAAGUAUAUUGGACUCUGUCUCAGUGAAAGCAUAUGGAUCUUACAAGUAUCAAAACGUGAUGAAGAAACCUAUCUAUCAACCUCAAAAGCAUCACGCAUAGAGGUGUAGUAACAGUUGGAGUGUGAGAAUCAGAAGCCAUGGAAGAAGAUUCAGAAGGCAGGAGAAGAAGGAGAAAAGUAAUGGACAGGGUUCAACUUCAAGAAUUCAGAUUAUUAUUCCAGAAGUUGUUGAAGAAGUUAGUAUUUUGACUGGGAGAAAUUGAAAGCAAAUGAUAGGUGUAAAAAAAACACUCACACAUAUACACACACAAAGUGGGGAACACUAGAUAGCUGUCACUCACACCCCCCACAAAAACAGGGUGUCAAGUUGUCAACACACUCUGUAUAUUCUUACUCUUUUCACUUUCUCUCUAUCUUUUACUAUUUUAUUAUUAUUCUUAUCCAUUAUCUGCUUUUGUUGGACACUUAUAAUACAUAAAAGAAUUAGUUAGGCUUGAA